rnacentral:lncRNA from 1 species
GCUCAGGCCGGCUAGUCCCUUCAGAGGGCACUUGUUAGGGGGCAGCUAGUGACUCAUGAGAUGAGGGUCAGUUAUGGGAGGCAGUAACCUAUGCAGAAGCAUGGGGUAUCCUCAGAAGUACACUGAUGGGUAUGUAGUUGGGUAAGAGGAAGGGAACAUUGUCUUUAUGGUAGGCUAUCUAAGCAUGUUUUUAGGCAGAGGAGAAGAAAUAUGAUAAUUUGAAAAGCCUACAGGAAAAGAUUAAUGACUUUUAGAAAUACUGACUUAGGCUUUUAAGGACUGUGGGCACGUGUUUGCUUUGAAUCAGUGAGGUCGCUGUGUGUGACCUUUGUCAUGGUUUAGCCAGGGCAGUUCUGGUUAUCAUCAUGUAUCAAACUGGGCCUAUGGGGAAGCUUUAAAUCGCCUCUGUGUGUAAUUUCUUUACAUACCCGUGACUAAAAUACGUGACACAAACAAUUUAAAGAGAAUUGUUUUGGCUUUCGGUUCCAUAGGUUUCUGUUCAUACCCCUUGGUUCCGUGGAUGCUGGGCUGGUGAGGUAGGACACCAUGGUACUGGGAAUGUGAAGACGACAAGCUUGUUCACCUAACAAUAAAUAAGAAUAAAUAAGUAUGAAGAAGAGACCGGCAGGACUACAUAUUACCUUCAAAGGCACAUGCCCGGUUUCCUCCAAAUAGUUUCUCAUUCCUAAUGUUUCCACCACCUCUCAAAGUUAGGAUAAUGAGCUGAGGACCUUGCAUUUUGUCUGUGAGCAGAUGUGAGAUGUUUCACACAAACAGCUGGAGUGGUUUGCCUGUACUUUAUACUGUUGGUGAUCUCAUUUGAACCUCUGACAGCUACAAGUUAACUCUAGCUAGGGUGCAGAAUUAUCUGAAAGCUCCUAGUUCUUUCUACUAGGCUUUAAGUCCAGGCCUGCCAAUGGAAGCUAUGGAUGCAUUUUCUUUGUGUGCAUUGCUUUGUUUCAUAGCAGAAUUAUCAGGCUUCUUAACUGGAAACUCUUGAGUUGUAAGGCAAAUGCAUAUGUAAGCUGGGAACUUCUGAGCUGUUCUCAGAAACAAUGUGGUUAUUUCAGUCACUCUGUUGCUUACAAACACACCAUAAGCCCAUUCAUAACAAACACAUCAUAAGCUCAUUCAUACAAACACAUCAGAAACCCAUUCAUACAAAGGAUGGAAUUGGGUUUUUUUUGGAUAAAAUGUUAGGAUUACAGAAGAUUAGGUAGUCUAAAAGAUACUAUUAUAUUUGCUUUCUUUGACAAUACGUUGGAAUAUAGGAAUAGAAUUCAAUAAAAGAAUGAUGCAGACUCUUAAAUAUGUAUAACUUACACAUAGAUAAUACUAACUAACCACUUUUCUUAAGGCAUACAUUCAUCUACUACUUUUAAUUUGGCAUAGAUGUAAAUCUAAUGUCUACUAAGAAAGUAUGUCCAUAUUAUUAAUAGCAUUGGAUACCAGAUGCAUGAAUAUAGAAGUUGGUAUGUGUCUUAUCUUUUUGAUGAUUGUGGGGGUCCCUGUAGGUUUCAGGCAGGGAAAUGAACUGCCGAUUGGUAAGAAUGAAAACAUGAUUCAGAUUGGCUUCAUCCAUGUGGAUCAAACCUUCUAGAAAGUGAUGCCAGGCAGUUUAUCCCAGCAAAUUUAAAUAUGGUAUAAUUUGUAGAAAGUUUCUUCAUGUAAUAUAAUACUGGGUGCACAAGGAGGCAUAAUUAUAUUGAAACUCAACUCAGGGUACGUGUCAUUUCUUCCCAGAAGAUGGGCUCUAGAGAUAUAGUACCUAUACUAGUUUAAGGGCCAGAAGAAGACUCUGGCCUGGUCUCAGUCAUACAGAUAGCAUAGAGGUCAUUCAGGCUAUUGACCUCUGUUCCUGGUUGUGGCAGCUUUGGGGAGCUCCUGGCUGUUCGGAUAAUGUAAGGGUCAUUUAGACUAUUAGGUAUCUCUGGUCCUGAUUGUGGGUCUUGGGGAGUUCCUGCCUGCAAGGGUCAUUUAGAUUACUAGCUACCUCUGGUCUUGGUUGUAGAAGCUUGGUAUGUCCUGGUUAACAUAUAACACAGACCACCAAGUCGACGUCACUUCUGAGCCCCAGCUCUCUGGGUGGAAGAACAGGUUUUACAUUCUUUCCCUUGAGCAGACAGUCCUGUGUGAUUCACAUUCCUGGAGAUCUGUGGGCACAAGGGUAUUUUUGCUAUGCUCUCAACAGAUGAUAACUAAAUUGGGAAGUAUUAAUUAAUUUUAGAUUUUAAAUUAAGAAAGGGCUUAAGAAUGGGGCUUGUGCUAGAUAGUUUUAUGCCGGCUUGACACAAGUUAGAGUUAUUUGGGAAGAGGGAACUCAACUGAGAAAAUGCUUCCAUAAGAUUGCCUGUAGGCUAAUUUAUGGGGCAUGUGUGUGUGUGUGUGCUUUUUAUUUUUUUUAAUGAAUGGAAAUGUGCUUUAGAGUACUGUAACAUUAUUCUAGCUUGCUUUUUGUUGUUUUGGUAAAUCAAAUGCAAUAGUCCCUCACUGGGGGAAGCCAGGACAGGAACUGUGAGGCAGGAGCCAUCAAGGUGUGCUGCUAACUAGCUUUCUCUCUCUGGCUCCGGCUCAUUCAGCUUCUUUAUGCUUGUCGAAUAUUGACAACAUCCCCAGUGGGUUGGAUUCUCCCAUGUCAGUCACAGAUAAGACAGUGUUCCACAGCCAACUCUUCAGCUGAUGCUCCUUCUUUCCAGGUGGCUUAGGUUAUGGGAACAAUUGACAGUUAAAAUUAACCAGCAGACAUGUCAGUACCGGUUAGUUACUAUACACUCUGAUUCACUCUUCUAUCUUACAAAUCAAAUUAGCUUAGAAAUAGCAAUAAAUCUAGACUGGAUGAAGGGAUUUAGUUUUUAAUUCAUUUUUAAAGUCUCAAAUGUAUUGCAGUGUCAUUUUUAGCUUUAAAUAGCCAAGAAAAUGUUUUUCUAUUUCUUUUUAUUAUAACAGUUUUAGUUAUUAAAGAAUAUUUUUACUUGUUAAAAAGAAAAUCCCAGUAUUUCUCAUGUGGAUUCUGGCUUCUGAACUGGACUUACAUCCAUUUAAGGCUUUUUUAUUCUAAUGUUGGUUAUAUAUUUUUUCCAGUUCAUAAUGUGAUGUAUUGUACUUUUAUUUAUCCAGAGCAUAAUUAAGAACUAAGAAAUGAGCUGAAAGUCAUUGAGCUGCCAGUGUCCAAGCUGAUAUUUAAAAACAUAUGUUCUUAAUUAAACAAUUGGUGAUUAAGUGCUUAAUUAUGUGAGGCUGUUUAAUUAUGUAAAAAUUAAUGAUCUCAUACAGUGCUGCUGCUCUAUUGUUGCCCACAAUAAAAGUAAGAAAAACAAAAAACAUGGGGCAGAAGUGAUGGUUCCGUGCUCUCAGUGGAUCGUGGUUGACAUUGUAGUGUACUGGGCUCAGUUGCCAUACCUACCU